rnacentral:rRNA from 1 species
UUGCGGUUAAAAAGCUCGUAGUUGGAUUUCUGCUGAGGACGACCGGUCCGCCCUCUGGGUGAGCAUCUGGCUCGGCCUUGGCAUCUUCUUGGGGAACGUAGCUGCACUUGACUGUGUGGUGCGGUAUCCAGGACUUUUACUUUGAGGAAAUUAGAGUGUUUCAAGCAGGCGCACGCCUUGAAUACAUUAGCAUGGAAUAAUAAGAUAGGACCUCGGUUCUAUUUUGUUGGUUUCUAGAGCUGAGGUAAUGAUUAAUAGGGAUAGUUGGGGGCAUUCGUAUUUAACUGUCAGAGGUGAAAUUCUUGGAUUUGUUAAUGUCGGACUACUGCGAAAGCAUUUGCCAAGGAUGUUUUCAUUGAUCAAGAACGAAAGUUAGGGGAUCGAAGACGAUCUGAUACCGUCCUAGUCUUAACCAUAAACCAUGCCGACUAGAGAUUGGAGGUCGUUACUUAUACGACUCCUUCGCCCUUUAAAUCUGUUUGGGU